GACGAACGCUGGCGGCGUGCUUAACACAUGCAAGUCGAACGGAAAGGCCCUGCUUUUGUGGGGUGCUCGAGUGGCGAACGGGUGAGUAACACGUGAGUAACCUGCCCUUGACUUUUGGGAUAACUUCAGGAAACUGGGGCUAAUACCGGAUAGGAGCUCCUGCUGCAUGGUGGGGGUUGGAAAGUUUCGGCGGUUGGGGAUGGACUCGCGGCUUAUCAGCUUGUUGGUGGGGUAGUGGCUUACCAAGGCUUUGACGGGUAGCCGGCCUGAGAGGGUGACCGGCCACAUUGGGACUGAGAUACGGCCCAGACUCCUACGGGAGGCAGCAGUGGGGAAUAUUGCACAAUGGGCGGAAGCCUGAUGCAGCAACGCCGCGUGCGGGAUGACGGCCUUCGGGUUGUAAACCGCUUUCGCCUGUGACGAAGCGUGAGUGACGGUAAUGGGUAAAGAAGCACCGGCUAACUACGUG
rnacentral:rRNA from 1 species